rnacentral:rRNA from 1 species
AGUGAACGCUGGCGGUAGGCCUAACACAUGCAAGUCGAACGGCAGCACAGUAAGAGCUUGCUCUUACGGGUGGCGAGUGGCGGACGGGUGAGGAAUACAUCUGAAUCUACUUUUUCGUGGGGGAUAACGUAGGGAAACUUACGCUAAUACCGCAUACGACCUACGGGUGAAAGCAGGGGAUCUUCGGACCUUGCGCGAUUGAAUGAGCCGAUGUCGGAUUAGCUAGUUGGCGGGGUAAAGGCCCACCAAGGCGACGAUCCGUAGCUGGUCUGAGAGGAUGAUCAGCCACACUGGAACUGAGACACGGUCCAGACUCCUACGGGAGGCAGCAGUGGGGAAUAUUGGACAAUGGGCGCAAGCCUGAUCCAGCCAUACCGCGUGGGUGAAGAAGGCCUUCGGUUUGUAAAGCCCUUUUGUUGGGAAAGAAAAGCAGCAGGUUAAUACCCCGCUGUUCUGACGGUACCCAAAGAAUAAGCACCGGCUAACUUCGUG